AGUUGAGGUUCUUGAUCACGUUUUCUGGAAACCCGCUACGGUCCUCAAGGAGUUGUCGGGACGAUGCUACGUGGUUCGGUUACUUGGCGCCGCCGCGGUGGAACUUACGGUUCAUAAAGUUAACCUCAGGGCUCGACAAUCUUGGCGAGAUGAAAGAUGGGUUAUGAUCGAAAAGGUAUCUUGUUCUGUGAAGUCCUCUACGUUGACUGGUUCUGAUGCAAACCAGAAUCGAAAGACACGUGAGACGAGUGUUGUUUCUAUAAGACUGUUGAAGAGACCUUCACCCUGUGAGUCUGCUGAAUCAUGCACGGGAACUCCUAAGAAGAUGAGAUUGACGGAGGAAGCUGCUGCUGUGAAGAAUGGUUUCCGUCAAAUGGUGAGGGUAAGAACAAAAAGGUUUAGUAGUGAUGAUACUAGUGAUGCAUGCUCGGUUGGUAGUUGUAGCCCUAUUAGAUAUGAUGAGUCAACUUCUUUUCUAGAUGGUUCUUCUUGCCAAGACGCAGACUCUUGUAGUAGUGAUGCAGAAUCUUCAAAAGGAUGCAGACAAGAAGUGAGGAGGUCAUGUAGGCCUGAACUGUCCACAUACCGGAGUACCCUGGGGAAGCUAUUUGCUCAAGGCCCACUAAACUGGGAUCAGGAAGCAUCACUCACGGAUCUCCGACUUUCACUUGAUAUAUCAACUGAUGAACAUUUGAUGGAGAUAAGAAACCUAACGUCUUCUGCUGGUACAAGACAAUAGUAAAUUUUGUUAGUAAUCAAAUAUUCUUUUUGAUCAUUAACAAAUCUUAUCUUCAGGUACUUCCCUGCAAUGUGGAAUCAGCUGUUACAUAUUUUUCUUUUCCAAGAGGGUUCUUAUAGUGAUCUGUAUAGGCAACAUAAUGGAAGAAAGUAUAUAUGGAAACUGCAAUCCUUAUUGUGAUGUUGUUCUUCUUAUAGUCAGCUUAAUUUUGUUUUGUUAUACUUUUGGGAUAAUGAACUAUGAAAUGUUACAGUAUAUAUACUUUAACAUAAGUCAUGUUUUGAGGAUUGAGUUUUUUUUUUGUUGACUUUCAUUGAUUUAUGCUUUAGAUUCUGUUGGAUAAGCUAUUUGUAUUUUCCAUAUUAUUGGGUGGAUUAUGGAACUUCCCUACAUUUUUUCAGGAACAGUGUAGCAAUGCCGGGUGGCUGCAGAUCUUGCUUGAUUGCUUAUAGAGAUCUUACUCUGAUGCAUUGGGUUUACCUAUCCGUGCAGAACACGAGGCCCCUUCUUACUCAAAUACAUAAGUUAAAUUGUACUGUCUUUUUUCUUUUUGGUUAUUCCAAACUGAUCUGUUGCAGGUAUUGUUGGAUCAACUCUGUUCAGAGGCACUUGAUAUGUUCCUGUUCUAAGGAGGAAAUUCACGGUCUGGUUGGAUAAGUUCGGUGAUAACAAAGUGCAUACCUGAGAGACUAUUGAGUUGUGCCAAAUACUUACGACAAUAGUCUUUUUAAUCUUUCAGCAAGUGUGAUUUUCAUGAUAUCUCUUCUAAACACUCUGAAUCCGGAGCUGUCCAUUUUUGUUAGUUUGUGCCAUGUUUACUUCAAUUCAAUACUAAGGGGGAUUCAUAUGUUUGAAUAAAACAAAAAUUAGAUGGGCGUUUUAUUAAGUUUGGGGUCGUUACAUUAUCUUUGAUUGUGAUGCUAAUGAUGUUAUUCAAGGUCUCUUAAGCUUUAAAGCGUGGCCUACAAUGCAAUGCUAACAACAAAACAUUUUCACUCUGACCAUAUAAUUGACUUUACAAGCUUCAAGAUAUAUUUUAAGCAAGGAGGAUGUACGUAACAAAAUCGCUCACUAUUAACACACAGCCAGUCUUUGCCUAGACCACUUCAAUUAUACCAUUAGACUAAAACAAAUAUGAACAUUUGUGGCUGCAAUUUAUUAAUAGAAAAGUUAGCCGUAAGUUUAUGAUUUAUUAGCUUGGCCCAGAGGCAGGCUAUGUAUCAACCUUUUGAUUGUUUAGUUAACUGUUCCAAUCUGUUUACAACAUUUAAUAGAGGCUGAUAAACAGGUGAUGUAAACGUAAUACGUUAAAUGAAAUGAUGGUGAGCUUUUAAGAAAAUAAAAUUUUGAUAAAUUAUACGGAAAUUAUUUACGAAAAUUAUGGUUGUCAUUGCAGUGGCGAAGGUAUAUGGGAGGGAGGUCAACUGACCCCUAUGACUUUUUGGAAGACAAAAUAUUGCUUCAAUAUUUACAAAAAAAAAAAAAAAAGCUUAAGACUAGCUUAUUGACCUCUUUAAUAUUUGUAGAAAAUCAAUUUGAACCUAAGAUUUUAUUCUUUUUUAAUUUUUUAUUUGAAGUAAAACGAAAACAAUUCUCCUUCUAAUCUAAUAUUUCAAAUCAAUUUUUUUUUCAUUCUUCAAUUAUGUUUAUAAUCAUUUAAUAUUUUUAUACUUUAUUUUCUUUUAUUCGAUAGUCAAAUACUUUUAUUUCUGAUAAAUACUUUUAAAUAUAGUUUAUCUUUUUUACAUCAGCUUAUAAAUAUUUACCUAUAAUAACACACAUUUCUUGUGUAAUGACUAGAAUAACAUACAAAAACCAAGAAAGAAAGAAAACAUAAUAUAAAGUCCAAAAUACCCCAUCGAGGAAUUAAAUUUAAAUUAAAAAUACAUUAGGAAACAUAACUAUUAAAAAUAUUUUUACACAAAGAUGAAAAAAAAAUCCCCUUUUUGAAAGCUCUUUCCCCGACUCAUGAACUCUAAUCCCUCAAUUCCUCUAUUCUCGGAUCUCUUGCGUUUAGACUCAAUUUCGCCGAGAAUCGAUUUUUUUCUCACCCUUCUCGACCACCAAAAGCUUUGAUUGACAAAUGAAGAGAAUUUAAAUCCCAGAAAUCCGACGAAGCCUAAAUCCCCUUUCUGAAAUUAUGGGUUCCUUUGAAUCUGACAAAUUUUAUGGAGUGUGAUCAGCUGUUAAUGGAAAACUAAGUGUUGAAGAAGAGUGUCCUUCUUCCUCUGCCGUUAAUGGGGGUUUGAUGGCGGUGAGAAAGUGAAGCAGGGAGGUACGAAAAGGAGACGAUUGAGUAGAAGGGCAUCUGCUGACCUCAAGUGUAAAUUUGUUCACAAGCGGCAUUCAAACGAGACAGUAUAAGUGUCCAGAAGUAAUCUUUGACCUCAAGUGCUUUUUGAUCCUCACAGUGAAGGCAAUUAUGACAAAGAUGAGGUAAUGUGGUUUGGCUUCCUGAUUCUAUCAUUUAUGUAGCUAUAGCCUGUUGUUACUGGUGACAUUUAUGUCCAAAAUUUUGUUUGUAUCUAACAGGACAAUUUGGCUUUGAUGAUGGAGCUUCUUGGAAUGAUGCCACACAAGGUAAUAGAAUCAUUAGCAGGCUGCUGGUACAUGCUGGUGAACUACUUUACCAUUCUAGGCCUUCUAAUCUCCAACUCUUUCUCUGUUGGAUGUAUUGCAGAUAACUUUAGGAGGCCGCUACUCCAGGGAUUUAUUCAACAGGCAUGGUGAUAUUCGACACAUCAGAAAGAAGAAAGACCAAAAACCCGAAACGUAGCUCUAGAGAGAAAGAAGAGUGAGAACGAUGAGCAAGAAGCUGUGGUUGUUAAAAUGAGAAACCAGAAGGUCCUCUCUCCGGUUUGAUAUCUGAGUUCUGUUCCGUGAUUGAGCGACUGAAAAUAUGAUAUAGUCAGAGCUUUGAGCCAACAGAACCUCUCUUACGUCAAAUGUGCAGAGUGAUAUAUUGUUUGUGUACUUAUAAGAAACAUAAGCUGUUUAUUAUUACAUACCAAGAUUGAAAACAUUGACAGAACACAAAGAACAAAAACAAAGUUCAAGGCAUAUAGUUAUAAACAGCAGAACUUUUCUUCUUGUUUUGUUUGAUUACAGCUUCCCGUUGAACUCAGGAACCAUCAGGAACUUUUCAUGAAACUGAACCUUCUGACUUAACAUAUAAGCAAGUAGUUGUGGUCGGUUAUACAAUAAUAACAACAAUUUUUGUUUUUGAUAAGUAUGUGAACUUUAUUCUCAUGAAUGAAAAAUUCUUGAUGCUUGCACCGAAUGCAAUAAAAAAAUAUUUAAAUCUGUAACUAGACUCUACUACAUAGCGAGUGAAUGUCCCAAACUAAGGUAUUUGAAUAACCACUGGCCAAAAACAACUAUAACUUGCUCCAUCGGAUUUUUUUGGGAUUAACCUAAAAUAGCCAGUUGACAAAAAUAUAAAAUCGAGGUUUGGAGAAGAAGUUUCACGGCUAAACUAAGUUUUAGUAACUAGUUGUGGUUAUUGUUCAAAUUUUUGGUCCCUUUAGUAACCCGGGUUUUGUUAAUUCUAAUUAGUUAACCGAUUUUGUUGAAGCAAGCGCACGGCAGAAGAAUAAGACAGGGGAUAGCAGCCACCGACCAUUUGCUCCAAUCUUCAAAGGAGAAUGACGGAGAAAGAAAGACAACAGAGAGAGAAACUACAGAAAACGAAGAAGGCCACGUCAACAAGGAUUCAUUCAUUUUAAUCCUUAAUUAGGGACUGCUCCUUAGCUUAUUUAGGUUUUAUAUUAUUAUUGUAUUGGUAUUUGCUUAGGAUUAUGUGCUAAGGAUUCAUUUAAAUCCUCCAUUGCGGAUGGUCUAAGCAUCUAGGGGCUUCAGCUGAUGAUCCAGGCUGUUCACGGUAUAAAAAUACUUGGAUGGAGGACGUGCCAUGUAACAAAUUUUCUAUAUUAUAAUCUCCAUAAAGCUUUUCACGUUUUCAUUAGUAAUUACUUAUUCUUUGUAUUAGAAGCCCAUUAAGCCUUGAAAUGAUACACGAUAAGUUCCAUUACAAUCGGCCCAUUACAAAAUUGACUUAUUCGGCUUGUUAAGAGUAAAUAGGUCGGUAUAAUUUAAUUAAAAAUAAAAAAAUAUUAAUAAAAUAUAAAUUUACCAAUUUCUUCUGAUCACGCCUAGUUUCGUCGGUAUCUCUUCGCAUUAAAGCCCUAAAUCUCCCAAUUUCAAUUGCGAUAAUUUUGUUCAGAGGGAAAUCCACAUCUUACGUUCUUCAGAUUUGUACAAGGUAAGUUCUUAUGCAGUUUCUUCGGUCGAAUUUCUUAGUUGGUUUAUUGAUUUUACGUUUUUUCUUUUAAAUCUGGAAAUUGUAUUUCUGUGCUAUGUGGGAGAAAUUGAUGUUGCUGUCACUUUUAUUAUAUUGAAUAAAUCACUAAGUUUUUAAUUUUUUUUUUUUAUUAUUAUUUUUGUUUGCAGAAAACUAACAUGAGAUUCAGAAAAGGAACCAGAGUUGAGGUUUUAAGCCUCAAGGAGUCCCGUUAUGGCGCGUGGCGAACAGCCGAGAUUCUUUCAGGCAAUGGUCACACGUACAGCGUUCGAUACUACUCGUUCGGGUUUGCAAAAGAUGAGACAUUGGAGGAGAGAGUUGCGAGGAAGAUGAUCAGGCCGUGUCCUCCGCUAAUCGAUGUAUACAGGUGGGAAUCUGGCGAACUAGUUGAGGUUCUUGAUCACGUUUUCUGGAAACCCGCUACGGUCCUCAAGGAGUUGUCGGGACGAUGCUACGUGGUUCGGUUACUUGGCGCCGCCGCGGUGGAACUUACGGUUCAUAAAGUUAACCUCAGGGCUCGACAAUCUUGGCGAGAUGAAAGAUGGGUUAUGAUCGAAAAGGUAUCUUGUUCUGUGAAGUCCUCUACGUUGACUGGUUCUGAUGCAAACCAGAAUCGAAAGACACGUGAGACGAGUGUUGUUUCUAUAAGACUGUUGAAGAGACCUUCACCCUGUGAGUCUGCUGAAUCAUGCACGGGAACUCCUAAGAAGAUGAGAUUGACGGAGGAAGCUGCUGCUGUGAAGAAUGGUUUCC
rnacentral:lncRNA from 1 species